rnacentral:rRNA from 1 species
CCUACGGGAGGCAGCAGUGAGGAAUAUUGGUCAAUGGACGAGAGUCUGAACCAGCCAAGUAGCGUGAAGGAUGACUGCCCUAUGGGUUGUAAACUUCUUUUAUAAAGGAAUAAAACGAGGCACGUGUGCCUUUUUGCAUGUACUUUAUGAAUAAGGAUCGGCUAACUCCGUGCCAGCAGCCGCGGUAAUACGGAGGAUCCGAGCGUUAUCCGGAGUUAUUGGGUUUAAAGGGAGCGUAGAUGGGUUGUUAAGUCAGUUGUGAAAGUUUGCGGCUCAACCGUAAAAUUGCAAUUGAUACUGGCAGUCGUGAGUACAGUUGAGGUAGGCGGAAUUCGUGGUGUAGCGGUGAAAUGCUUAGAGAUCACGAAGAACCCCGAUUGCGAAGGCAGCUUACUAAACUGUUACUGACAUUGAUGCUCGAAAGUGUGGGUAUCAAACAGGAUUAGAUACCCGGGUAGUC